rnacentral:lncRNA from 1 species
ACCGCGGUGGUAACCUCUUUAUAGCUUAUUAGCAUCUCAUUAGCGUCUCGUUAGUAUCUCGUUAGCAUCUCAUUAGCGCGGAGCGGGGCGGGGCCAUGGCGGCGGGGCGGAAGGGCGAGUGACAUCCCGAAUGGGCGGGGCUAAAAGGAAAUGGGCGUGGCCAUGCACAGUUUGAGGCGGGGCAUAAAUGGGCGAGCCAACCGGAAGGGGCGGGGCUAAAUGCAAACCGAGGCUGGACAUGUUGAUUACGUCACCGGAAGAGGCGGGGUUUUAUGCGAUCGUGGUAACCAGAGGGGGCGUGGCCAGAGGAAAGGUGGGCGGGGUUUGGCGAGAAGUGGGCGGGGCCAUGAGGCGGUGGGCGGGGGCAAAGCCCCCUUUUUUUAUCCUUAAUGAGAAGCAAUGAUUAAUUGCCGGUAGUAAAUGCUAAUUAUUGUCUGUUAUCAGUGUUGCUAAUCAGCGUUUGUGUUCCUUAUAGAUGAUCUGUAAUCUUAUUGGUGGUGCAAUAAGUUUAAAGAGAUGUUACUUAGAGCAAUUCUGUGUUUAGUAACUAUUAGAUGUUAAUUAGUAGUUGCAAUUAACGGUUUACUGUCUUUAAACUGCAAGUUUCUACGAAUUUUGGUGGAGCUGGCACUAAGCUGCCACCUGGACCCACAUCGGACACUAACAAAACGCUAACUAGAUCAUCAUUUAGGGUUAAUUAAAUAUUAAUUAAGCUCCGAGGAAUCUCGAUUAAGCACUAAUUAGCCCCUAAUGAGGAGGUAGCACUCAGGCCUCGCCAUGACCGCGGCGCUGCGGCGCUUCUGCACGAGGCCCCCCCAGGAUCACUACCAGGUUUUGGGGGUCCCCCCCGACGCCACCCCCCAACAGAUCCGUGCGGCGUUCCUGCAGCGCUGCAAGGAGGUGGGGGGGCACUGGGAGGGACUGGGAGGGACUGGGGGGGCAAUGGGAGGGACUGGGAGCAACUGGGAGCAACUGGGGGGGCAAUGGGAGGGACUGGGAGGGACU